CGAACGGAAAGAAGAAGGUGAGAG
rnacentral:siRNA from 1 species